GGCCUCGUAGCUCACCUGGUAGAGAGUGCGCCUUACGAAAAGCGUAGGCGGCGUCCACGCAUGGGUUCGAAUCCCACCGAGGUUA
rnacentral:tRNA from 1 species